CACCUAAUCUAGGCAAAAAUAAUGGGGGUUUAGUUACAUUAUAUGAUCAUACAUUGCAAUGUAUGAUCAUAUAAUGUAACUAAACCCCCAUUAUUUUUGCCUAAAUUAGGUG